AGGGAAAGCUGACAUAGUCGAGGGCGACAUAAUUCAUGGUGACAUCACUCUUCAAGGUGGUUCCAUGAGAAAGUAGUAACAAGGAGAGUUUCAUUGACUGACACAUUUAGAGAAUUUUUCGCCAUCUCUGUCCAUUAAUACAGGGUCGAAGAACUGCUGGAAACUGCAGUUUCCAUCUCUCAACAAAUGAUCAAAACACAGGAACCACCCACUCCCAGUGUUGGACGGGGGGUGUGCAAGGAGAGGGGAGGUGGAAGAAUGAGAGGCUAACAUCACUGAAAUCAAAACGGCAGAUUUUCUCACUGGGUCCAAUUUGACACCCAGCUUUUCAGUUCUUCUGUCUACUGUAGCAUGAACCAUUUGUUCUGUUUACCUUUAAAAGUCAAUUUG
rnacentral:lncRNA from 1 species